GUGCUCACUUUAGGAGAAUGUAUAUUAAAACUAGAACAAUAGAGAGAAGAUUAGUAUAACCCCUGCAUGGGAGGAAGGCAUGCAAAUUGUGUAAGCAUCCCUUAUUUUU
ensembl:snRNA U6 U6 spliceosomal RNA